CCUACGGGAGGUAGCAGUGGGGAAUAUUGGGCAAUGGGCGCAAGCCUGACCCAGCAACGCCGCGUGAAGGAAGAAGGCCCUCGGGUUGUAAACUUCUUUUAACAGGGACGAAGAAAGUGACGGUCCCUGUUGAAUAAGCCACGGCUAACUACGUGCCAGCAGCCGCGGUAAUACGUAGGUGGCAAGCGUUCUCCGGAUUUACUGGGCGUAAAGGGCGUGUAGGCGGGAGAGCAAGUCAGACGUUAAAUUCCCGGGCUCAACUGUGGAACUGCGUUUGAAACUGUUCUUCUUGAGUGAUGGAGAGGUAGGGGGAAUUCCGGGUGUAGCGGUGAAAUGCGUAGAUAUAAGGAGGAACACCGGUGGCGAAGGCGGCCUGCUGGACAUUAACUGACGCUGAGGCGCGAAAGCGUGGGGAGCAAAUAGGAUUAGAUACCCCAGUAGUC
rnacentral:rRNA from 1 species